GAUGAACGCUGGCGGCGUGCCUAAUACAUGCAAGUCGAGCGAACAGACGAGGAGCUUGCUCCUCUGACGUUAGCGGCGGACGGGUGAGUAACACGUGGAUAACCUACCUAUAAGACUGGGAUAACUUCGGGAAACCGGAGCUAAUACCGGAUAAUAUAUUGAACCGCAUGGUUCAAUAGUGAAAGACGGUUUUGCUGUCACUUAUAGAUGGAUCCGCGCCGCAUUAGCUAGUUGGUAAGGUAACGGCUUACCAAGGCAACGAUGCGUAGCCGACCUGAGAGGGUGAUCGGCCACACUGGAACUGAGACACGGUCCAGACGCCUACGGGAGGCAGUAGUAGGGAAUCUUCCGCAAUGGGCGGAAGCCUGACGGAGCAACGCCGCGUGAGUGAUGAAGGUCUUCGGAUCGUAAAACUCUGUUAUUAGGGAAGAACAAAUGUGUAAGUAACUAUGCACGUCUUGACGGUACCUAAUCAGAAAGCCACGGCUAACUACGUG
rnacentral:rRNA from 1 species